rnacentral:rRNA from 1 species
CCUAUGGGGCGCAGCAGGCGCGAAACCUUCACACUGUGCGAAAGCACGAUGAGGGGAUCCCAAGUGCUUGCACGUAAGUGUAAGCUGUUUCUGUGUCUAAAAAGCAUAGAGAGUAAGGGGUUGGGUAAAA